ACACUUACCUGGCAGGGGAGGUACCAUGAUCACGAAGGUGAUUUUCCCAGGGCGAGGCUCACCCAUUGCACUCCGGAUGUGCUGACCCCUGCGAUUUCCCCAAAUGUGGGAAAUUCGACUGCAUAGUUUGUGGUAGUGGGGGGACACGUUUGCGCUCUCCCCUG
rnacentral:snRNA from 1 species